AACGAACGCUGGCGGCAUGCCUAACACAUGCCAGUCGAACGAGACCUUCGGGUCUAGUGGCGCACGGGUGCGUAGCGCGUGGGAACCUGCCCUUAGGUUCGGAAUAACUCCCCGAAAGGGGUGCUAAUACCGGAUAAUGUCUUCGGACCAAAGAUUUAUCGCCUUUGGAUGGGCCCGCGUUGGAUUAGCUAGUUGGUAGGGUAAAAGCCUACCAAGGCGACGAUCCAUAGCUGGUCUGAGAGGAUGAUCAGCCACACUGGGACUGAGACACGGCCCAGACUCCUACGGGAGGCAGCAGUGGGGAAUAUUGGACAAUGGGCGAAAGCCUGAUCCAGCAAUGCCGCGUGAGUGAUGAAGGCCUUAGGGUUGUAAAGCUCUUUUACCCGGGAUGAUAAUGACAGUACCGGGAGAAUAAGCGCCGGCUAACUCCGUG
rnacentral:rRNA from 1 species